rnacentral:rRNA from 1 species
GACGAACGCUGGCGGCGUGCCUAAUACAUGCAAGUUGAGCGAUGAAGCUUGGUGCUUGCACCAAUUUGAAGAGCAGCGAACGGGUGAGUAACGCGUGGGGAAUCUGCCUUUGAGCGGGGGACAACAUUUGGAAACGAAUGCUAAUACCGCAUAACAACUUUAAACAUAAGUUUUAAGUUUGAAAGAUGCAAUUGCAUCACUCAAAGAUGAUCCCGCGUUGUAUUAGCUAGUUGGUGAGGUAAAGGCUCACCAAGGCGAUGAUACAUAGCCGACCUGAGAGGGUGAUCGGCCACAUUGGGACUGAGACACGGCCCAAACUCCUACGGGAGGCAGCAGUAGGGAAUCUUCGGCAACGGACGAAAGUCUGACCGAGCAACGCCGCGUGAGUGAAGAAGGUUUUCGGAUCGUAAAACUCUGUUGGUAGAGAAGAACGUUGGUGAGAGUGGAAAGCUCAUCAAGUGACGGUAACUACACAGAAAGGGACGGCUAACUACGUG